rfam:Thermanaeromonas toyohensis ToBE genome assembly, chromosome: I
UAACCUGCACUGGAAGGUGCGGUUGAACUGGCAGGAGUCAGCAGAGGUCAUAGUACCUCUCUCAGACGUCAGAGGGAGGGAAGGAC